GACACCGUGCCGGAGUGGUUAACGGGUUAGACUUGAAUUGCAUUCGAGAUAUCUAAUGGCUUAGGCCUCACAAGUUCGAAUCUUGUCGGUGUCG